AAGCAAAGCCGCGAGGUAGAGCAAAUCUCAAAAAAACAAUCUCAGUUCAGACUGCAGGCUGCAACUCGCCUGCACGAAGUCGGAAUUGCUAGUAAUCGUAGGUCAGCAUACUACGGUGAAUACGUUCCCGGGCCUUGUACACACCGCCCGUCAAACCAUGAGAGUUGGCAACACCCGAAGUCGGUAGUCUAACCGCAAGGAGGACGCCGCCGAAGGUGGGGUUGAUGAUUAGGGUUAAGUCGUAACAAGGUAAC
rnacentral:rRNA from 1 species